rnacentral:rRNA from 1 species
UACGUAGGGGGCUAGCGUUGUCCGGAUUUAUUGGGCGUAAAGAGCGUGUAGGCGGCCAGGUAGGUCUGGUGUGAAAACUCGAGGCUUAACCUCGAGAUGUCAUCGGAAACCAUCUGGCUAGAGUCCGGAAGAGGAGAGUGGAAUUCCUGGUGUAGCGGCGAAAUGCGCAGAUAUCAGGAAGAACACCAAUGGCGAAAGCAGCUCUCUGGGACGGUACUGACGCUGAGACGCGAAAGCGUGGGGAGCAAACAGG